rnacentral:rRNA from 1 species
GGUAGUCCACGCCGUAAACGAUGUCGACUUGGAGGUUGUGCCCUUGAGGCGUGGCUUCCGGAGCUAACGCGUUAAGUCGACCGCCUGGGGAGUACGGCCGCAAGGUUAAAACUCAAAUGAAUUGACGGGGGCCCGCACAAGCGGUGGAGCAUGUGGUUUAAUUCGAUGCAACGCGAAGAACCUUACCUACUCUUGACAUCCAGAGAACUUAGCAGAGAUGCUUUGGUGCCUUCGGGAACUCUGAGACAGGUGCUGCAUGGCUGUCGUCAGCUCGUGUUGUGAAAUGUUGGGUUAAGUCCCGCAACGAGCGCAACCCUUAUCCUUUGUUGCCAGCGGUUAGGCCGGGAACUCAAAGGAGACUGCCAGUGAUAAACUGGAGGAAGGUGGGGAUGACGUCAAGUCAUCAUGGCCCUUACGGGUAGGGCUACACACGUGCUACAAUGGCGCAUACAAAGAGAAGCGACCUCGCGAGAGCAAGCGGACCUCAUAAAGUGCGUCGUAGUCCGGAUUGGAGUCUGCAACUCGACUCCAUGAAGUCGGAAUCGCUGGUAAUCGUAGAUCAGAAUGCUACGGUGAAUACGUUCCCGGGCCUUGUACACACCGCCCGUCACACCAUGGGAGUGGGUUGCAAAAGAAGUAGGUAGCUUAACCUUCGGGAGGGCGCUUACCACUUUGUGAUUCAUGACUGGGGUGAAGUCGUAACAAGGUAACCGUAGGGGAACCUGC